UGUUUGUCAAUUGCAUUAUUCCUAUAAUGAACUCUACUCAGAUUAUUCACUUUUGAAAAUUAUCUGUAAUAUGUAAAUUAUAGCCAUUUUUAGACUUUUGUCAUCUACAGAUCGUUUUGUUUGUUCUGUUUUACACUGAUGCUUCCAUAAAAUCAUUGCAAUUAAUUAUGGGCUAAGGUUUUCUAUCUUCAGCAAAAAAAGAACAAUAUUAGAAUCUGGUAGAAAAGGAUCAUGCCGGCCGGGCGCGGUGGCUCACGCCUGUGAUCCCAGCACUUUGGGAGGCUGAGACGGGUGGAUAACGAAGUCAAGAGAUUGAAACCAUCCUGGUCAACAUGGUGAAACCCCGUCUCUACUAAAAAUACAAAAAAAAUUAGCUGGGCACGGUGGCUCAUGCCUGUAAUCCCAGCUACUCAGGAGGCUGAGGCAGGAGAAUUGCCUGAACCCAGGAGGCGGAGGUUGUGGUGAGCCGAGAUUGCGCCAUUGCACUCCAGCCUGGGUAACAAGAGCGAAACUCCGUCUCAAAAAAAAAAAAAAAAAAAAAAAAGAAAGAAAAAAAUAAAAAAAAGAAAAGGAUCAUGCCAUGUACUCUGGGGAACAGAUUUCUGAUGGCAUUGUUUAAAUGACUAUGAAAUCAUACCACGGACUGAGUCAGGAGUUACAGAUUUCUAGUUGAGAAGCAGAUGCAUUAAUAAAACAAGUAACACAAGAUCAAGUGGAAGAAGAGUUAAUUUUAUAAAAUUGAAUGAGCAAAUGAUUAUGAUUUUUAUUUGAAAUAGUGUUCAUGUUUUAUUGUUCUAUUUUCUGGAAAUAAGAAUUUCUUUUCUUUUUCUCUUAAGCUAACACUUAAACAAUUUUAUAGACUGCUUGUUCCUUUUAGACAGAAAUGAAACCUGUAUUUUUUUUUCUCCCUGACUCCCCCUUUCAAAAUUUAGAAACUGCAAUUGAGUCUUCUUAUCUUCAUGGCAAUAUAGUUAUUUGCAUAGAUUCCAUAAGAGUCUGUCCUCCUUGUUAACAGGACACGAACAAAAUCAUUGGUAAUAAAACCAAAGCUUUGCCUGGAUCUCAUAUUUAAAAAUGAUGCUUAUUUGAUCAGAUAUGACCAGACGCUUUUAAGGAACUCAAGUUGACUUUAUGGGGUCAAUGCUUUCAAAGCGCCUCUUGUGAAAACUGGCUUGAAACCUGGCUUUGCAGGGUUCACAGCUUUGCAGGUGAGCAAGGAAUGUAAUUUCCAGCAGGCUCUGGAAACUUAGGAUAUUUGUGGGAUCUCAAGAAAAAAAGGAAUGCCCGCCAAAUCGAUAGGUACUGCAUGUGAAAUUCGAUGUGAGUUUUUGACUUGGCUUCUCAUCCUCAAGAGGCUUUGAAAAGUCCAACUUGACAUUCUUUAUGAAAACUUCCAGCAAAGCAAAUAUAAGAAGAUCAAUAUGUAAAUUUCCACUGUUGCUGUACCUAUGCAAAUAACAAGGCCAAAUCUCAUGAGAUUAACCUUAAUUAGUGAUCAAAAACAACCUUUCUUUGAGAUUAUCUUUGAUCAAAAGGGGAGGAGUAACUGUAGAAAGAAAAUUUGUGUUUCUGUGGGAAAUUAUAGCACAUCCUUCUGGAUUAUCAGAUUCUUAUUCUGUUUAUUUUUGUUUGAGCUAUAUAGUGCCUCUGUAAACUGCAGGUAACUGAUAGACAUGCAAACUUUGUAGCUAAGCUUUCUCUCUCAUUGUGGAAAUUUCAGUUUGGUAUUUACCUUGCACAGAUUGUUAACCUUGCACAGACUGUCAACCUUUACCAGAUUUUCAAUUAUUCCCGUUUCCUUCAGCAUCCGGCUACAAACUAACAGCCUUGAAAAGAAUGAUUCCAUUUUAUUUCUACCUCUAGACUUGUAGUCACUCGGAACUAAAAUCUGACUGCCUAGAUCUUUAUUGACGCUCUAGGUUGCCCUGUUACUGGUCUUUACCCCCUAGGACUUGAAGAAUCACUGCAAGUUCAAGUCUGAGGAUUUGUUAUAAGCCUAGAAGAACUUAUUAUCAUUCCAGCUAACCAUUCAUGUUCCAACUAUCUCUAUGGAUAAGCUGCUCUUUGGACUACUCAGAAAGUUUGGUAAAAUGCUCAGGUCAUGCACGCCUUUAUUGGAUAAGUGACCAGUGCUGUGGAUGACAUCACCAAUAUGAUCAACAUCUUCAAAAACUCAUUUUCUUGGGAAUUCCAUCAAGAAGGUCUGCUCUGCCUAUCACCACAGACUCUAGUCUUCAGCUGGGGCAGAACCCCCUGUGCCUUACUAUUUGCCACUUGUCAAGUCCACAAUGAUAUUGGCAAGUCAGCACCAGGUCUGAACUCUACUCUCUUUGUGGGAGAAUAGAUCAAACGGGCCUUGACUGCCUGCCAAGAUUAAUUUGAAUUCUUCCUGUGAUAAGAGAUGGGCGAAGAGGAGUCACUGAUGUGUUUUAAGUAUGAAUGGAGCAAAGCUCACUAUCAUUUUGGCAUCAAUGUGGAGAAUGGAUGGAGGAGGAUGAUAUUUGUUAGAAGACUGCACAAGAUUCCAGUUGAGGUAUGACGGUGGUCUUGGACUCACGGAACAAGAGAAAGAAUGGAACUGAGAGGAGUUGAGUUUCAGGUUGAAUCUAAAAUUUUUAAACAUUGAUCAACUAGAAGCAGAUGAUAAAGGAAGAAGGAAAAAGAGGCAAAACUAAGUCAGAUAAACCUUUAUUGUUGUGGACAUUUGUUCUAGGCCCUAUAACAAGCAUUACAAACAAAAAUGAUAAGUAAAAUUGCAGAUUUAGGGUCUGGCUGGAAGGCAAGGAAGACUCCAAGGCAGCGUCAGCAAUAACUCCUUCAGCUAAACCCACACUGGCAAGGCGCUGAUCCAGAGUGUAAUUCCCCAUGCUGAAGCUUGGUUGGACAAAACAGCUUUGGAUUCCGGAUCAUUUCCCAUCAAGAAAAAUGGAGUGAACUAACCACAGUCAGCAUGUCCCACAGAAAACAAAUGCCUCUACAGCAACAGCAUUUUCAACUGGAACGGGAACUCUUUUCAGAAGACUUUGCUUUUUCUCAUAAGCUGACCCAGAAAAUCAAGUAUCUGGCCCCUUUUACCCCUGUGAUGGAGGAGAGCAUUCUUGGGAAUAGAUGUCAAGUGAACCAACCUGUGGGAUUUACCUCUAUUAGGGAGGCGACUACUUCAUGUGUAAGUUUUCAAACCAAAUCACCAUAAACACUGUCCCUGCUUCCUUGGAAAUUUGGAAACCUGUAUUGUUGUAAAAUUUUAUGUUGCUCUUUCAUCUCUGUAAGUACAGACUAAUGAACACAUAUAUACACACACACAUGCACACACACACAUACAUGUAUUUAUAUAUGUAGAUUUUAGCCAUUUAUAAUGAUGAUGAUUUCUAAUGUCUGUGAAGUGCUUAUGAUAUGCAAGGGACUAUGUUAAAUAUUUUGUAGGCAUUAUCAGAUUUGAUUUUCAAAAAUUCCUGAGAUCGGCACUGUUAUUACCCCCAGAGGAGGUCACUGAGGCCCAGUCGCAUUAGUGAUUUGUCUACCUAGCAAGUAGUGAAGGUGAAAUUUGAAUCCAAGCAAACUUUCACAAGACUCUCAGUCUCAAUUUCUCUGUUAUUGCCUUGAUCAUUUAUAAGGGAAGAUACUGCAUAUGAGGGGAUUGCAUCUGCAGAAUCUGUUGUAAGACACAUUGUCAGAUGUUCAUGUAAACACGUAAGAGCUGUUAUGUGCCCUACAAUUAUGUGAUGUUCAUGUUUUUAGACUGAGUGCCAUGGGAUGAGUUGUGUCCUGGCCUCCAAAUUCAUACGUUGAAACCUUAACUCCCAGUAUUUUAGAAUGUGACUUUAUUUGGAGAUAGGACCUUUAAAGAGAUAAUUCAGUCAAAAUGAGGCCUUUAGGAUGGACCCUAAUGAAAUUUGGCUGGUGUCUCUAUAAAAAGAGAAAAUGUGGGACAUAAAGAGACACGAGGGGUGCACAAGCACAGAGAAAAGACAGGUGAGGGCACAGCCAUCUGCAAGCCAAGGAGAGAAGCCUUGGAAAAAACUAAAUUCACUAGAGUUUUGAUCUUGAACUUCCAGUUUCUAGAAAAGCAUGAAAAUAAAUUUAUGUUGUUUAAGCUACCUGACUAUGACAUUUCGUUAUAAUAGCCUUAGUAUGCUAAUAAACCAGUCAUGCCACAAGUGAUUUUCCCUACUCAGAUUCAGCCAGAUGCUGUUCACAUGUGAGUCAUAUACUCAACGUGGUUUGUUUAUGAGAGCUAUGAAAACUCAGGCUUAACUCCAGGAAAAGAUGAGAUAGCAAUUCAUAAACAGCAUAAACUGAUUGAAAAAGCCAAGUACCCAUUGGUUGGUAGCAGGAAAAUAAGGUUAUGUUCAUUACAAAAAUGCCUGUAAGGAGCAAAGAGUAUGACACGGGAAUGAUAUUUGAAUUAGGAUACAUUAAAAAAAUGAAAAAAAAAUGUCAGAGGAAUACAACUUAUUUGAUGUGAGGCCUUCACUUAGGGCCUAGUAGCGCUGCCCCCACUUAGGGCCUAGUGGAGCUGCCCCUGAUUUCGUAUUGUGGGUUUCAGGACUAACUGAGAGGAAAACCCACGGGGCACCCACAUGAAGUAUGUUUUGAUGGUCCCUCAUCACACUGAAAUGUGCUGAUAAAGGGAACAUAGUCCUGAUUUAACAGCCUGAGUUUGAAGCCUGGCUUGACUGGACCUGUCACUUUGGGCAAGAUAUCCCCCCAAUCCCUCAGUUUCCCAUCUGUAAAACAGGGUAUAAUUGUUCUCACCUUGGUGGGUUCUGUAUUAUGAGAGAGGAUAUGUUGUUAAGUGCUUGGAAUGGUAGUUAAUACAUAUUAGUUUUAUUAUAAAUUAUAUUUAUAAAAUAUCUGAAUCAUUACUCUAUAUUUAUAAUAAAAAUUUUAUGAUAAAUUAACUUCCUAGGUAAGUGACUCUGCACUCUUUACAUGAAUCUCUUCAAUUAGAAUAUGCUGAACAUGACUAUGUAGCCUUUGCUUGAAGAUGCCACUACCAUCAUGAAUAUCACAAUCUCUAGUUUUGAAUAUGCAGUUUGGUCCCUCCUGACCCACCAGGGCAUGACCUCCAAUUGCCUUUCUACCUCUACCUAUCGACACCCCAUAAUCCUGAGAGUCUAAAUUUUUUUUUGAGGCUCCUAUUUCUACACAGUCCUCUCCACAGAUUUUUAUAUAAGCCCUCUUCUCUGCUUCAAAUAUUCCACCUUCUGCCUACCUUCCCCUGAUUGUACUUCUUUGUACUCAUCACGUAAGACUCAUCUCAGUAUCACCUUUCCUAGUCUUCUAGCCCCUGACAUUCAGUAUUAACCGUUAUUCAAUGACAUUUAUGAUGAGUAUCAUACUUCUUUGCUUAUUUUUUUGUACAUAUCCUCAUUGGAUUCUGAGCUCCAUGAGCUAUUUCAUUAUUUCUGAUCUUAAGUGCCUUCCAGAAAAACUGCCAUUAAAAUAGUCACUUUCUAUAGGCUUGAAAUAAAUGAAUAGAUUUAAAAGCAAAUGUACAUUGAGGUUUCCCUUUGGCCUGAGCAAAAGCAGGUCAGAGUUGGACCUAAUAAAUUGACAGCAGUAAAGUAUUUAAUAUGUAUUAUUUAAACUGAGUGUCUUGUUUCAAUAGACAUUUAUUGAAUGCUUAGGUGUAUGCAAAGUACUGGGAUCAAUUUGGUCUAGAGGGAAGAAAAUACUGUUGUACUCUUUUCCCUAAGAGGAGGAUUCUUCCUCUCCUUGCUUAAUUCAAGCUCCCCUCCAAGGUAAGAGAACUUGCUGAUUCAAUCAGUCUAGAGUUUGGAUUGGGUCAUAGUUAUUAGUGAGUCUGGUGACUGGAGUCUGGUGACACUAAAAGGAUGGAAUGCACAAGUGCAAGUGUGCAUUCUCUUGAGCUUUCUGCUUCUCCUUUCCAUAUAGGAAGCAGACACCAGCAAGGUCAAAAGCUCUGAGCUGGAACCAGAGCCAUAUCUCACUUCUUUCCGUCUCAGGACUUAAAUUCAGAGGGAUCCAGGGGAUCCCAUUUAAGCCUCAGGCUCGAUCUAUAUUCUCCAAUCUAAUUUUUACCAGCUCUCUGAUUUAAAGGUUAAAUAAAUGGUGCUAUUCUGUUAAAUAAAGUAAUACUUUCUUUUUCAUAUAACAUCUCUUCUUAUAUGUAGCCCUCUAAGAAACUGACUUUGGUUGGGGUGGGUUACAGGGUGGGGAUUAGAGGUUGAAGAAACAAUGAAAAAAGGAAAAAUAAAUCAUGCAGCAGGAUUCAGGCUUUUCUGGGUUUCUAUCCAUACUGUGAAAAGAAUAAUGGAAAAGAUAUAUAAAUAGAGAAAAUUUCACCCUUGCCUUAUACAAAUUACAAUUUAAUUUAUCUUCAUGAAAUUUUUGUUAAUGAGGAGGGCUGCUGUAUUAGUUUCCUAGAGUAUAAUUAUUCCAUGGUAAUAAAGUACCAAGUACCAAAAGCUGUGUGGCUAAAAACAAUAGAAAUGUAUUAUCUUACAGUUUAUGAGGCAAGAAGUCUGAAAUAAGGAUAUUGACAGGGUUGGUUCCUUCUGCAGGCUGUGAAGUCUUUUUCAUGCUUCUUUUCUAGUUUUGAAGUGAGAGAUCAGCAGAACUUGUUUUCUGAGCACUGAUAAUGACCUUGCUGAUCAAAAACAGGAUGCUGUAAAGAAACCUGCUGAAACCAGCAGAUGGUGAGAAAAGUGACUUCUGGUGCCCACACUGUUCAUAAAGAAAGACACUCCCACCAGUGCCAUGACAGUUUACAAAUGCCAUGGCAACAUGCCUUGGCAACAACUGAGAAGUGACCUUAUAUGGCUCCAGGAACUCCCCAACUCUUUUCUAGAAAAUUAUGAAUAACCCACCCUUAAUUAGCAUAUAAUUAAGAGUAGAUAUAAAUAUAGCUAGCCAGCAAUUGAUGCCGGGGCUGCCUCUGCAGCUGUGACUUCAGUUGUGGCCACUGUUCCUGCUCCAAUGGCUGCUCCAGACAGCUACUGUUGCUGUAUACUGCUGCUGCUGUGGCUACUCCAGGCUGCUCUGCCUAUGGAGCAGCCGCUAUGCUGUACCAUGGUACUGUAGGCGCACUGCCAAUGGGUUAGCACAGUUAUGUAAGGGGCAGCCAUUCUGCUAUGUGCUCCUGCUUCAACCUGGUUUCUUCCACCACUGGCUUACUCUUGAAUUCUUUACUGAGUAAAGCCAAAGACCCUCCUGGGCUAAGCUAAUUUUGGGGCUUGCCUACUGUACAUGAGUUUCUGGUGGUUGUCAGCAAUUCCUGUCAUUCUUUGGCUAGUAGAUGGGUUACGUCAAUCUGCCUUCACUUCACAUGGCAGUCUCCACGUUGUAUAUCUAAGUCUUUCUGUGUCCUCUCCUCUUAUAAGGAUGCCAGUUACUGGAUUUAAUGCCCACCCUAACCCCAAAGUGAUUUCAUCUUGAGAUCCUUAAUUACAUUUGUAAAGAACACUAUUUCCAAAUAAAGCAACAGUGUGAGGUUCUGGGUGAAUGUGAGCCUUUAAGGGACACUAUUGCCUUGGUCCAUUUUGUGCUGCUAUAACAAAAUACUACAGACCGGGUAUUUAUGAAGAAUGGAGAUCUAUGUCUUAGAGUUCUGGAGGCUGGGAAGUUUAAAAUCAAGGGGCCAGCAUCUGGCAAGGGCCCUCUUGCUUUGUUAUGCCAUGGCGAAGGGUGGAAGGCUAAGAGGGUAAGAGGGAGCAAACUCCCUCUCUCAAGCCCUUCAAAAUGACAUUAAUCCAUUAAUGGGGUCAGAGCCCUCAUGAUCAAAACACUUUCCAUGAGGCCCCACUUCCCAACACUGUUGCACUGGGGAUUAAAUUUCAACUUGGGGUUUGGAGGAGACAAAAACAUUUAGUUCAUAUUCAGUCCACCACAGCUGUCCUGAGAUACAUAAAAAUGCUGUUACAACCAUGUUGUAUAUGAGAGGCCUCGAUCUGGGAAUCAGUAGAUGUGCCAAAAACAAGCUGUGUGAUGUUGAAUAAUUCAGUAAAACACUCUGGGUUUCAGUUACACACUCAGUGAAAUAUGAUAGUUAAGCCAAGAUCUCAAGUAUAAAGGAACCUUGAGAAUCAUACAGGCCCUUACCUCCCAUACUAAUGCCUACACCUCCUUCACAUGUGACUGUCUCUAAGGUCCCUUAGUUAAUAUUAUUUUCUGUAAUCUCUUAGAUUCAUAAGAAGGACCUUAAGUCUAAUGCCUCCCAAUUCAGUUUCUUGCAUUCUAACUCUAGGUGUAUAUAGAGAUAUGACAUUCUAGCAUACCUCUAUUCUAUCUCUAAUAACAUGUCACCCUCAUAGAACAUUUUUGGGACUGAAUGGUACUAAGUAUUAGUGUAAAAAUUAUACUGGGCAGCCAGGCAUGGUGGCUCACACCUGUAAUCCCAGCACUUUGGGAGGCCGAGGAGGGCAGAUCACGAGGUCAGAAGUUCAAGAUCAGCCUUGACAACAUAGUGAAACCCCAUCUCUACUAAAAAUACAAAAUUAGCCAGGCAUGGUGGCACAUGCCUGCAGUCCCAACUUCCCAGCUACUUGGGAGGCUGACACAGGAGAAUCACUUGAACCUGGCAGAUGGAGGUUGCAGUGAGCUGAGAUGGCGCCACUGCCCUCCAGCCUGGGUGACAGACAGAGACUCCUUCUUGGGGUGGGGGAGGGGGGAAGGAAUACACACACACACACACACACACACACACACACACACACACACUGGGCAUACAGGUUGUGUAUAUAUAUAUAUAUAUAUAUAUAUAUAUAUAUAUAUACAAGGCAAACAGGUAAAAAUUGGAACUGUUUCAGGCAACUGAGGCAUAAGAUCAUGUUUUCAUCUCUAUCAAAAUUAGACUUAGACUCUUCAUUCUCACUAAACGGUAAAUGUUUAAUAAUAACUUAGAUUAUGAGUGGUAAGAUUCAUGCUCAUUACCAAAAUGACUAAUUACUCACAGUACUUUUAUUGUUAUUAUAUCUAUAACUAGCUUCAGGAUUCUUAACACAGUGUUUUAGGUAACCAUUGUAAAAUAAUGAGUUGACAGACCAAACGGGAACUAUUUGCUACAUCUGACUUAGAGAAUAACCAGUUUUUCUCUAAGCAAAUGUGCUAUUUACUAAACAUUGAAACCCAAAUUUGUAAGAGUAAAAUUCUAAUAAUUAGAAUUUUACACAUUUAAUGGCAUAGUAUGUGGUAGGGGGCAGGCAACAAGGAGCUUUGCAUAACGUAUUUCAGAAAUAAAAUUGAAAGGAAAAUAUGUUCCGUGGAGGUAAAUAAUGAUUCUCAUAAUUGUUCUAUUUCCAUGCUUUUCAUUAGAAUUUUCAGUAUGCAGAGGAUUUGAGGAAAAACUUAACACCAAAAAUUUAGUUUCUUACUAGAGUCUGCUGAAUUAGAAUUGGAUGCAAUUGUGGCCCACAAGAUAUGUUCAAUUUCAUGCUAACUAUUUGCUGGAGAGGGAGGAGGAUGCAGGAUCAGCCUGGAGUAGACCUAAAGACAGAUAUUUUUUCAACUGCCCAAUUUGUUGAGGGCAAAUGCAAAGAGUGGGAGUCGUGUCGAGGCUUGUUGGUGAUGUCUGUGGAUUCCUGAGCAUACAGAGAUCAUAUGUUCAAUUCAUUUGUUGAGGAUGGUAAACUGAAAUAGGCUACAGCAUCCCACUCUUGUUCAAAAUACAAAAUGAUAAAAAUGGCAUGUAAAUAAAUAAAUAAAUCUAUGUACAUGACACACACGGAGUCAUUCUAUGGACUAGGAACUGUGUGAAAUCCAUGAAAGACAUGGAGUUGAGACUGCAACCACAGCCCAAAACUACCCUAAGAUAUGUGAUAACAAAUUUGGGGUUGGCAGAAAAAUGCUUACACACUGGGAAUGGCCUAUACUCAGAGUGGGAAGCAACUCCGUGACUACGAACAAAGUGAUUCAUUGGUUUUGCUGCUAGGAGCAGCUCAGCGCUGGACUGUAUAUUCAUAUAUCUUCACCUCAAUACACAUUUCUAGGUGGAUGAAGAGGGUGUGGGAGCUUGGGUUAGAUAUAAAAGGCUGUAUCCUAGAUGGCUGGUCUGUUUAGGAGAAAAUGGUGGGCCGCCAUCCUCAGAUGCCGCACAUUCCUAGGGAGGGCAGCCUCAGCAGCACCUUCUGUGGUUACCUUCAAGCUGACACUGCAGUGACACAUCAGGUAAUCUGACAGGAAACACCAAUCCAAAAACUGAACACACAAAAUGGAAUAGCUAAACAUCCAAGGAAAACCACCAGAGGAAGACAGAGAUGACCUUGAGCUCAGGAGAGUCAGCAGCCUUGGGUAUAAGUCAGACGUAGUCCCCUAGAGGGAGAAUUAUGAAAAUAUGUUCUCAAAUAGAAGGACUCCUAGAGAAGAAAGGUAGUCUCCUUAAAAUUUCUGAGGUCACAGUUCUAUCCUUGAUUUGUCAUUUGCUUCUUUGGUUGGCAAGAGAAUGACAUUCUUAUUCUACCCUGAAACCCAAGGAGACAAAGAACACAAAUCAAAACAAAAUAAACUUUGUAAUAAUUAGGUCACUGUCCAGCCUGGCCAGCGUAAUGAGUGAUAAAAUUCUGACAAGAGAUUCAAAUCACUAAGAACUUCCUUGGGUUUGGUUGAAAAUUAGGGCAAUUGACCAAGGUGAUUGAGGCAUGUUUUUUCCAAUGUAUAUAGCGGUCCCCAAAUGAGUCAAAAUUGAUUACAUGCCUGAGAGUUUUUGAGAUAAAAAGUGUAUGCAAAGAGAGUUACUUUUCCUUUGCAAUGGAAAGGAAAGAGAAUUUCUGAAGAGGGUUACCAACCUCAAAAUGUCAUAUAUAAAUAAUGCUUCUGAACCUCCCAAGGAUAAAAAACUCUAGGCCAGAAAAUAGUUAUAAAGAUGCAAGAAUGACAUUGCUCAAUUCUACCAUUCAAUGGUUUCUGGCUAAGGCAGGAAAUUCCUUUAUUGGUAUAUAGAAGGCAGAAAAAAGCAUCUUCAAAUGUUUGAUUCAUUGUCACUUAAAUUAUUUCUGAAAACAUAAAAGUCUUUGUUAAAACUCACUAAAGCAGAUACAGAUAAAAAGCAUUUUUAAAUAAACUAAAGCUCAGAGGAAAACAAAAGCAAAAACUGCAGAAUUUAAAAUUAUAUCAUUCAAAUUCUACUUGGCUUUUUCUACUCUGAUCAUUUUGGAAAAUUUACUUAGUUUCUUUCUGCUUUCAUUUAAUAACAUAGAGAUACUAUAGACCUGAUCUGGUUUUUAAAAAUAAUUAUAUCAUUAAUACACAUUUAUUUUAGAAAAUAAGCUGGGCAUGAUGGACCUUUAAAUCUAUAAAACUACAUUUCACCUAUUGUUUUCUGUCAAAAUCUUCAAAUUUAAUCACCUAAAACCUACUAUAGUACCUUGUUCAUACUAGGUGGCCUAUAAAUAUUGGUUGAAUGAAUGAAAAAAAUAGUCUUGUAUCUCUGAGCUGGAGAAGUAGACAGGGACCAGAUUGUAGAUGGAUUUGAAUUUCAUGCUGAAGAGCUUUUAUUUUGAGCUGAGAAAUAUUUUUAUCAGCUUUGAUAUGGUAAUGUGGAAUAUAAAUUUAAGUGUGGGAAGUAGCAGUGGACUAUCUUGAUGGAAACUGAAUGAACAGAGGCGGUGGAAAGAGUUUUGGAAAGGUUCCACAGUAGUCACGUUAGUCUGCAGGAUAUUAUCAUCUUAACUAUGCUUCCGUUUACUCUAUUCCCUCUAAUAAUCUCCCAUUAUGAAGAGGGGAAAAAUUGAAGCAGAAGGAGAGCAAGAAAUAGAAUGAAUAUUUUUUAAAACUGAAAUCCUAAGUUUUGCAUAUUUAAUGUAGGGUGAUUCCAAGUGCCUGUAUAUUUUCUCAUCAGCAAAACAAGCUGGAUGUGGGACACCACUGCCUGCUGUCAUUGUUAAUGAAAGAAUUGAGGCUAUGGAAGUUUAAAUAACUUUUGAGACCCCCCAGAUCAUGAGUGUUAGUGAUUUUCAAACCAUGGUUUAAAUGCCGAAACAGUCCUUUUUCCUUCUAUAAACCUUACUUUCUCCACAGAUGAGGGAGGAAAUCAAAAUUCCUAGGUUUACAAAACUCAAGGCUUUGCAGCACUGUGGUGCUGGUAUUAUGAUGAAAAGCGAGUUGCUACCCGUGAAGAACUUUACUCCGCCACUGAAUUAUCUCACUGCCUCAUCUCUUCCUCUUACUCAUGUUGGAAGUAAUGUGUUCUUUUGUUUCUUCUAAACAUAAAGGUAUCUUUUCAGAGCUUAGACAAGCACUGCAUGAUCCAUGGUAGAAUUAUGUUGAAUUUUUUCCUAGUAGCCCACAGAGUCUUUUUUACUCCUUCAUAUUCACAACUGUUUUUCUACCUGGUUAAUAUCCAGAGCUCAGAGAGCCUGAAGCUUUCAGAGAUUUGUAGGUAUCCAACCUCAGUCAACAGUUUGUUCUUGAGAGAGCAAUCUCAUUCAUUCUUAAUCUCAGGCCCCAAACUCAGCCAUGGAGUCAGUCUAAUUCCCUUUCUCUGCCAGCCUUAUCUUUCUCCAAAGAGGCCAAAGACCUUUUUGGAGAACACAGAGCUAACUGGUUCUCUUCAUGGAUCAAAAUUACGCAGACAAGCUCAUGAGGCAAUAUGUGAAUGAGAGUGCAAGAUAAUCACCAAGAGCACUGAGUUAUAAUAAAAGAAGAAAAACACUGAGAGAAAAGAGCACCUAACAAGUAAAGACGUGGAAUAACAUUCGAAAUGAGGUUGACAGUGCCCUUUUUUUUUCUGCAGUCAAAAUAGAAGGGAACAAAUCACUGAAGAGGUCUGUAAAAGGCAGUCUUUGAGUGUCACGCAGAUGAAUGUAUGACCUUCCUGGUUCCCCUUGCUCUUUAAUUUCCAGGAACUAACAUUCCCUGCCACCUCACUGCAAAAGGGAGAGGUGUCUCUAAUGACAUUCCUAAAGUGAAGAACGCCGACCUUUCCAAGAAAAAGAAGGCUAGACAUUUAUUAUCAUAAAAAAGCAAGUGUGUGUAUGUGCAAGUGCAGUGUGUAAUAGCUUAAAUUUGAACCUGAAGAUCAAACAUUGAAUUUCAGUGCUGUGACAGGAAGUCCCUUUAGACUUGCAAAUUCAAUGUGUUUUUAAUAAAAGAACAACUUCCUUUUUAUAUCAGGGCUCAUAUUUUCAAGUUUUACUAGCAGGAAUAUUUAUUACAAUCUCAAUCCCAUAAUUUGUGUUGCUGUCAUCUUCACUGUCACCUAGAAUACUAAAAACAUUAAUAAGACAUUACAUUUUAAAUUUGAAAGCUAAGUGUAUGUCAAAUAUCUGCUUGUGUAUUAAACUUUUAAAAUGUUCUGUAUACUGUAAAUGAGGUAUUAUUU